UGCCUUUAGCAGGGAGCUCAGUUUGUGUUUGGUGUGUGUUGGGUGAACAUCAUCUUUCUCAUGAUUUUAUUUUCAGUGUUACAUAUUAACAUUUAAAAUACCUAUUUUAUUUUGUUUGUGGUAUCGAGGGGCUGAAGAUGAGUUGGAUAACAGAUUCAGAAUGGAAUGAAAGAUAUACUUGAUCUACCUACUGAGCUAUGUGGAAAAAAUUGGAAGGAUUGUGCAAAAUGAUGCAGAAUGGAAUGAAAGACAUACAUACCUACUUGAUCUACUGAGCUAUGUGGAAAAAAUUGGAAUGAUUGUGCAUAAUGAUGCAGAAUGGAAAGAAAGAUUAUUACUUGUGUACCUGGACCUGUACUUGAACCACUGAACAGUGUCAGAAAAAUUAGAAGGAUUGUGCAUAAUGAUGCAGAGCAGUGGGAAAUAAAUAAUAUGGUUACUUACCUGCCUGGACCUAUACUUGAACUACUUACCUGUUAGCUGUCUCUAUGGUGUAGUAAAAACCUGUUUGUAGUUAACUGCCACUAUGGUGUAGUGAAAAUUGGAACUUGGAAGGAUUGUGCCCAAUGAGGCGAUGUAUUAUUCAUAUUAUUCAUUUGUGAUCCCUGUGAAGAAGAUUUCAUGUAGUGGUAUGAUCUGAAUGCUUUCAUUGUACCUCACUUCUAGUCCUUGGUCAGCUUGAGAAUUCUUUCAAUUUCUUGAGAUAAAUUUGAAAUGCAUUCAUAAAUUGUAAUAUUUUUGUGAAAAAAUGAUUUGAUUGAAUUUUGCUGCUCAGAAUGAGAAUUAUUGAAUUUUGUAUGAAGUACUUGUGUUGACACUUGAUACCUACUCAAAUCCCUUAGUAUUUUGUUGAAAGAAGCCUUUAUUCAUUUUGUCUGUGGAAUUUUAAAGCAUGAAAUAUAUAAUUUUUUCAAAAUAAUUAAUUUUUUGUAGUUUUGCAAUAUUAAUCAUAAUUUGUUAAAACUUUAUUAAUUUUUUGUAAGGUGCACCGGGGCAAGUCAGAAUGAUUUUUCGCAAUUUCAACUUUGACCAGCUGUUACUCCCCUUCUAAUGAACCAAUAUGGAUCAAAUUUAUUAUGUAGGUUCCCAUAAGGGUUCUUAACCUAUGGUAAAAAUUUGAGCGCGAUUGACACAGUAGCUUUCGCUCAGUGGAAUAAAAUAUAAACUGUCCUGACUUACCCCAAUUGGGGGAAGUCAGAACAGGCUAAACUUUGCAGAGGCGUAGAUCACAAACCGAGCGUCCUAGAAAAAUUGCACAGAAACAAAAUUGUAGAGAAUUUAAUUCUCUUUGAGAUCACUCUCAUCAGAUUUUCACUAGGACGCACGGUUCGUCCGCUAUAUGCGAAAAACUAAGAAAUAGAAAGUCUGUAUUUUAGACCAAAUUCAAAAUAACUUCAAAACAACAACAAAAUACAAUUGAACCAAAGACAUCUAAAAUGAAACUGAAUCGCGAAAAUUUUUAUGCCGUGAUGAAGUAGGGGUAGUACCCUCAAGUCACCUUUAGUGGCACUUCGCCAGAUAUAAACCUCUAGGCGCUAGAGCAAGUUUUCUAACUUACCCCGAAUUCCAACUUCCCCCGGUGCACCUUAUCUAUGUAUGUUUCAUUUUUCUCAUCAUUUAUUCUCAUUUUAACUACUUACUUACUUUUUUUGUUGUAGAAUGUGAAUUAUUGAUUUUCUGUAUGAAGUACUUACCUUCUUGAUUCCUUUUGUUGAUACUUGAUAUUUCACAUCAAAUCCCUGUAAAUUUUGUUGAAAGGAAGCCAAAUUUAUUUAUUUUGUAGGUGAAAUUUCAAGUUAUUUUUCGGAGAUUUGCAAUAUUAAGCAUAAUUUUUAAAAAAUAUAAUUCAUUUUUGAUUUUGUUAUCUAUGUAUGUUUCCUUCUCCCCAUGUAUGUUUCAUUUUACCCAUCUUUUAUUCUCAUUUUAACUGUUGUUGUUUGGGUAAGGAAAGUUCCUGCAUGCACUCUUGAUUUUAAUGUGUGAAUUUCAUAAUUUUAUUAAUUUUGUGGAACUAUCAUAAUACCUACUACACAUAGGUAUGUACUUAUUUAUAAAACUCACUUUAUUGUUGUCCGAUUACCUAUAAGUAAUGAAAGUUUUCAAUGUAAACAGUGUUGUAUCUGUUAUAUAAUUACCUAUGUGAUUCUUUAGUGCAUGAUGUUAAUUUUUGAAAAAUACCUAAUUGAAAAAUUUAUAAUUGAAUUUUUUCAGAGUUUGUGUAUGAUGUUAAUUUUUGAAAAAUACCUAAUGUGAUUUAAUUUUAAAAAGUGGCUGUAUUCCUGUUUAAAUCACAUAAUUUGCGCUGUUGUUCCAUGAUAGUUUUAGUCUAUGUGGAUUUCCUGUCAUAACUUGUGGAGUGAAUAUGCAUCAAAACGCGGAAAUUUUUCACUAAUAGGAAGCCACUGCAAGAAUACCUCCUCCAUAAAACACUUGCAAAAAUACUGGUAUUCUACUCUAAAUCACAAACACAUUUGAAGUAUAAUUGCAACUGCUGCCUUCUUUCUACACAAAUUAACAUUCAGUCUUUCAUUUUUCAAUAUCAGAGAAUGUGAACUUGCAUUGUGAAGUUUGUUUUUGUCAUUCAAGUUGUAUCCAUAUUUUCAUGGUACUUGGUAGUUUUAUUAACCAGAAUUGUUUUUACUGUACUAUUUUUUGAGUGUGACGCAACCAAAGCUUCAGAUAAAUGACUUGUAGUUAACAUAAAGCAAUAAUUUUCUUGAUCAAAGUAUCUGAUUUAUAAAGUAUAUUAUAAUUGUAAACUGACUACCUAAAGUGAUAUCCUCUUGGACCAGGUAGUCGGAAGAGCAUUAGGGAGCAUUCUUGUAUCAUGUAACUUGAAUUAGGGCAGCUUAGGUGUCCUUGCUGUGCUGUCAUUUUGUAUAUUUGCAAUGCAAGUGUACAAAACGACUAUACAGCAAUUAAAAUUAUCUGUGUCCUGUAACUUGAAUUAGGGCAGCUUAGGUGUCCUUGCUGUGCUGUCAUUUUGUAUACUUGCAAUGCAAGUGUACAAAAAGACUAUACAGCAAUUAAAAUUAUCCGCGUCAUUGCAUGGUGACCUUUAUUGGUUGUGUAUGUCUUUCUGUUGUAUAGGCUUGAAAGAUGACAAUUUCAUCUAAAUAGGGUACUAUAACAGGAGGGUAUGCUG